rnacentral:rRNA from 1 species
GAUGAACGCUGGCGGCGUGCCUAAUACAUGCAAGUCGAGCGAACAGACGAGGAGCUUGCUCCUCUGACGUUAGCGGCGGACGGGUGAGUAACACGUGGAUAACCUACCUAUAAGACUGGGAUAACUUCGGGAAACCGGAGCUAAUACCGGAUAAUAUAUUGAACCGCAUGGUUCAAUAGUGAAAGACGGUUUUGCUGUCACUUAUAGAUGGAUCCGCGCCGCAUUAGCUAGUUGUUAAGGUAACGGCUUACCAAGGCGACGAUGCGUAGCCGACCUGAGAGGGUGAUCGGCCACACUGGAACGGAGACACGGUCCAGACUCCUACGGGAGGCAGCAGUAGGGAAUCUUCCGCAAUGGGCGAAAGCCUGACGGAGCAACGCCGCGUGAGUGAUGAAGGUCUUCGGAUCGUAAAACUCUGUUAUUAGGGAAGAACAAAUGUGUAAGUAACUAUGCACGUCUUGACGGUACCUAAUCAGAAAGCCACGGCUAACUACGUG